UACGGAGGGUGCAAACGUUGCUCGGAAUCAUUGGGCGUAAAGCGCACGUAGGCGGCGCGUUAAGUCGGGUGUGAAAGCCCUGGGCUCAACCCAGGAAGUGCAUUCGAAACUGGCGCGCUUGAAUAUGGAAGAGGGUCGCGGAAUUCCCGGUGUAGAGGUGAAAUUCGUAGAUAUCGGGAGGAACACCAGUGGCGAAGGCGGCUUUCUGGCCUGUUCUUGACGCUGAGGCGCGAAAGCUAGGGGAGCGAACGGG
rnacentral:rRNA from 1 species